rnacentral:rRNA from 1 species
UACGUAGGGUGCAGGCGUUAUUCGGAAUUACUGGGCGUAAAGCGUGCGCAGGCGGUCUUUUAAGUCAGAUGUGAAAUCCCCGGGCUUAACCUGGGAACUGCGUUUGAAACUGGAAGGCUAGAGUGUGGCAGAGGGGGGUGGAAUUCCACGUGUAGCAGUGAAAUGCGUAGAUAUGUGGAGGAACACCGAUGGCGAAGGCAGCCCCCUGGGCUAACACUGACGCUGAGACGCGAAAGCGUGGGGAGCAAACAGG